AGUACAUGGAAGAAGAAAGAGACAAACAGAAAUCACACAUACUGAAAAGUUUGCAGGGAUGUGGCGUUUAUUGCUUUUGGAAUCACCCUAAAUCAAGAGGACAGCCCCUCUCAUCUCAAAUGGCAGCCUUAAGGAAUGGCCUGACUACCAAUAAUGCAUCACCAGCAUCAACCUACACUUCUCUAAGCUGAAUGAAGGGUCAUAUCAUUGUAUGGAGAACAGUCUCCUUCAGGAGGACACAAGAGCUGUCAGGAGGAAUAUCAAAGCACAAAGGAUUCAACUACUGAGUUGAGAAAGGGUGGUUGCUGGUCUAUAGAACCUUGGGAUUCACUUGACUUUUGAUUGCCAUUUCCUCUGGUUUAGGAGCAUGUUUUCAGGCUAAAUGCUAAAUGUUGUAUGUAUGUAACUUCUCACAAAUUACAUGAAAAUACACUUCACUCCUCCAAAAUGUAUGCAUGUACACUACAUAAUUUUGGAUACUUUUUAGUUCUGUCAAGGAGCUCCUACACAGCUUGACAGCUCACCUCCAGCUGAACU